GUCUGGCCUGCCCACUGAAUUUAUUUAAAGGGCCGCAGUAAUUUGACUGUGCGAAGGUAGCAUAAUCAAUAGUCUUUUAAUUGAAGGCUGGAAUGAAUGGUCGGACAAAGAGUAAGCUGUCUUUUUAAUAUUUCUUGAAGUUUACUUUUAAGUGAAAAGGCUUAAAUGUAUUUGGGGGACGAUAAGACCCUAUAAAACUUUACAGUGGGGUCUGUAUUUUCUUAAAGUAGUGUAUAAUAUGAGUUACAGCCUGUCUGUUAUGUUGGGGAGACAUUAUCAUAAUAAGUAACUGUAAUAAAUAAAAAAUAAUAAUAAUUAGGUUAAUUGAUCCUUUAUUAAAGAUUAUAAGAUUAAGUUACUUUAGGGAUAACAGCGUAAUUCUCUUUGAGAGUUCUUAUCGACAAGAGUAGUUGCGACCUCGAUGUUGAAUUAAGAUUUCUUUAAAGUGUAGCAGCUUUAGAAGUAGGUCUGUUCGACCUU
rnacentral:rRNA from 1 species